AAGAAAGUAUACAAGAACUGCUAAUUCAUGUACCCAUGCUUAAAACACAUGGCUUUCUUA
rnacentral:tRNA from 1 species